rnacentral:rRNA from 1 species
AUUGAACGCUGGCGGCAUGCCUUACACAUGCAAGUCGAACGGCAGCACGGGGGCAACCCUGGUGGCGAGUGGCGAACGGGUGAGUAAUACAUCGGAACGUGUCCUGUAGUGGGGGAUAGCCCGGCGAAAGCCGGAUUAAUACCGCAUACGCUCUACGGAUGAAAGGGGGGGAUCUUAGGACCUCCCGCUACAGGGGCGGCCGAUGGCAGAUUAGCUAGUUGGUGGGGUAAAGGCCUACCAAGGCGACGAUCUGUAGCUGGUCUGAGAGGACGACCAGCCACACUGGGACUGAGACACGGCCCAGACUCCUACGGGAGGCAGCAGUGGGGAAUUUUGGACAAUGGGGGCAACCCUGAUCCAGCAAUGCCGCGUGUGUGAAGAAGGCCUUCGGGUUGUAAAGCACUUUUGUCCGGAAAGAAAACGCCGUGGUUAAUACCCGUGGCGGAUGACGGUACCGGAAGAAUAAGCACCGGCUAACUACGUG